UUAAACGGUAGGGUAUUGGCCUACCGUGGCAAUGACGGGUAACGGGGAAUUAGGGUUCGAUUCCGGAGAGGGAGCCUGAGAAACGGCUACCACAUCUAAGGAAGGCAGCAGGCGCGCAAAUUACCCAAUCCUAAUACAGGGAGGUAGUGACAAGAAAUAACAAUACAGGACUUUUCUGGUUUUGUAAUUGGAAUGAUUGUAAAAA
rnacentral:rRNA from 1 species